GGCCCUGUCGUCUAACCCGGUUCAGGACACUGCCCUUUCAAGGCAAAAAUGAGGGGUUCAAAUCCCCCCAGGGUCA
rnacentral:tRNA from 1 species